CCAUUUUGGAUGCCACCGGAUUUCUUAUCGCCGUGGAAAGCAUCAACAUUCAGGCGAAUGUUAUUAAUCAUUCUUAUAGCUCUGUACCCAUCACGAACUUCCUUGCUCUCGCUCCAUAGCACUGACUCAUCAAUAUGAUCUGGUUUGUAAGGUACCAGUUGGACCUGCAGAGAAAAACCCUUCAGCAAAACUUCAAGGUUGACCCCAAUAUUGUAACAAUUGUAUAAUGUUACCAUAACGAUAUGCCACUGAAUCGGCAGAACAACAGAUACAACAACAAAUAAUUGACUCAAAUGAUGCCUAUGUGCAACUUCUUCCGUAUAUAACCUUUUAGUUAAAGCCUUUUAUUACAGGAUGAACUGAUGGUCAAAUAUGAAUUACAUGAAGGGAACAAUUAAACUAACAAAACUGAAAGCCAUGGAGAAUUCUUACAGGAUGAGAAGCUCCAAUGGAAUGUUUAAUGGCUUGACCAGUGGCUUUAUUAACCAGAGAAAAGCUUGGGAAACCCACUUCAUCUUUCACACUUGUGCUGAACUUCUCAUCUUUGUACCAGUGCUAAAACAGCAACAAAAAUUAAAAUCCAAAUCAUAAUUAAGAUCCAUGUUUGGCCUUAAUCUUGAGUUUUAACAGUCAAACGGGGUUUUGGGGGUUGUCAGUUUAUGUGUUUAGUAAAGUCAAAAGGCAUAGAACAAUCAAUCACGGGGGUGAAAAAGAAAAAUAUAAUAAACCAAGUUGAUAAUUUUAUAAAUUAAUCCAAAAAAAAUUAAGAAAAUUGUAAAUCUGUUGAUACCGUACCUGGAAUUCAUCAGAGGGAUCAGAUGGAGCAAGAAUAACUUUACCGUCUCUGAUGGUGAGAUGAAAAUUUGGAUCAGCUUUGCAAUAGACUUUCACAGUAGGUUUCUUGUAUAAUUCAGGUGGCAAAUGGGGUCUAAAAGAAGGAUGGUCAUCAACCCUUCCUUGGCUACUUUCAUGGGCAACAUGUGAAACAGAUGCUGGUGGUGGAGAGUAGUUCGAUGGACUGUGUUCAGGCUGGUGGUGGACAUGAGUCACAUGGGGUGGCUGUUGGUACUGAUAUGACGGUGGUUGGUGUGGUGGGGGUGGUGGAAAUCCAGGUUGCUGAAAGUAAGAUGGUGGGGGUGGACCAUCAAAGCCAGGUUGGUGCAAGUAUGAUGAUGGAGGUGGCGGAGGAUAGGGUCCAUCAAAUCCAGGUGGCUGCUGGUAGCUUGGUGGUGGAGGGUACGGCGGAGUAAAUUCAUGGUGGUGAAGAUGUGGUGGUGGGGGUCUUUCUUGGUUUUCUUCAUCAUCAUUUCUGUGGUGAUGAGUGUGAGAGUGAUUGUGACCGAAUGGGAACUCCAUUUGUUCGAUUUCUGAUCUGGUUAGGACAAAUUGCUUUGAUCCUAAUUAUAUACUAACUUCAUCACUAAUUUGUUUGUUUGUUUGACAAUAUUUUCUAAUAUAUUUUCUUAGAAUGCGUACACGUAUGUUGAUUUAAUUGGCCAUUAAAAUUAUUUAUUAAAAAGUACAAAUCAUGUAUAAAAAUUACAAUAAAUUUAAACACAAUUUACUCAAAAGAAAUUUGACUUUUAUGGAGUUAGCUUAUUUUUAAUAACUUUCACUAAAAAUACCUUUUUAAAAAAGAAAUGUAGAUUUCAACAACAUUAAUUGGAUGUGGUGUGGAGAAAUUGAUUUAUUGCAACUUACCACCAAAACUUAUUGAUGUUCUUAUCAAAACUCUAACCUUUCAACUUAUUUAUUGGCAUUAUUUAUUACACUAUCUUUUAAUUUUUAAAUAAAAAUAUAUUCAGUUCUUUUUAUGUCUGCAUUUUGCUAUAACAUCUAAGUUUAUAGUAGAAACUCUUUUUUAUAUUUUGUUUUAGCUUUUUAUAACAUCUUUUCACUUACAACAGAAGUAUUAUAAUAACAUAUUGCCUAAAAUUUUAAGUAAAAUUGUAGUUAUUUCAUAUAAGAAAGCCUAUGGGUGAAUUAUCCAUAUAUGUUGAUUUUUAAACAAAAUUACCGGAUUAGGUCGAUUUUUACAAAAUUUAUCGGAAUAGGCUAAUUUUGGAGAGAGUGUGUGAAAACGCAUCCAGCUGAACGCGUUUUUAGUGGAUUUUGUAGGAAAAAGCUUCCAACUGAAUGCACUUUCCUACUAAGUCAGCAAAGCGCAUCCAGUUGGACAAAAUUUCGAGUCCCAGACUCUCCCAUUGUCACCCCCCUCAAAAUUGCCCCUCACCCCAGAAUUGGUUAGAUAUCUCGGGAAUCCCAAGGUAAUAUUUUCAUAAAUAUGCAUUUCUUUUAUCAUAUUCACUCAUUCCUUUAGGGGUGAGCAAAACUUGAUUUGAUUCGAAAAAAAUUCAAAUUUCGAGUUAUUCGAGUUUUGAGUUGAAUUUUACAAUUCGAAUAAUUCAAAUAACAGAUUAGUUUAAAUACCCUUUUGGUCUCUAUCAAUAUUGAAAAUGAGCAAAUUGAUCUCUCUCAACAAAAUUUUUAAAAAAUUACAUUGGUAAUUUUAAAAAUUCCAAAAUUUAUAUUUUUUAACAAAUAUAAAAAUUAUAAAAAAUCCUAAAGAAUAUAUAAAAAAGUUAAAAAUUAAAAAUCUAAAGGGUAAACUACAAAAAUAGUCACUUUUGUUUACCUCAAGUUACAUUUUAGUCACUUAUGUUUGAAAUGUUACGUUUUAGUCACUUAUGUUAUUAUUUUGUUACGAAGUGAUCACUCUUCCGUUAAAUUCUGUUAUCUCCCUAACGGUAAUCCUAUGUGGCAGUCCAACUAGAUUUUAAGUACCAAUUUAAAUUUCCUAAUAGGAUAAGAAUAGAUUUUUAAUUAAAUAAAUUUAAUUAAAUAAAAAUUUUAAACCCUAAAUCUUAGUUAAAAAACCAUUCAUCUCCCCAUUUUUUUUAGUUUUCUUUUUCAGCAUACCCUCCCUCGGAACUACUGUGACUGUGUUCCUCCCCAUGACCGGUUGUUUCAGAUGUUAAAAAAUCAGAACUUGAACUACUUUCCCUACCUUUGUCUUCAAACAACUAGGCAAAUGUUCCCAUUUGAACCCCAUUCUCACUAAAGCUUUCAUUUUUCUCUUUAAAGAGUCCUUCUUUCUCAACCAAACCCUUCAUUUCAGUUUGCUGUUCUUCAAAAGGACCAGGUGAAGAACAAAACACAGAGUGAUUUACUAUCAUACCACUAUACUCUAACCUCUGUGAGCAACACACAUUGGACUCUAUAUAGCUUUGUAACACAAGCUUCUAAAAGAUUUUGAAAUCCAAAAGCUCUUAGCUUUUAGCUUUGGUGCAGGCAUACAAAGCUUCAACUGGUGGUACUGUUGUUGUUGCUGCUGUUUGGUAGAGCUAUUUACUCUUGGUUGGUGAAAGCUCCUCCAUCCAUAAGGUCGCCAACAUGUCUACUUCAAUGGGGUAAAGUGGAAGCAAAAAAAAAAUGCAGAGAAAUUUGGUGUGGGGUUUUCCUUCUUUUUCCUUUUAUCUUUUUUAUGUGACAGAAAAAAGGCAGAAGCUUUAUGUUCUUAAAUAUAUGGAGUCAAGCUAUUGAUGAUUACUGAGGCAUGCUCAAAGACAUGACUGUUUUCUUAGUCAACUGAAAAAAAAACUAAAAAAAGGGAGAUAAACUGUUUUUAAUUAAGAUUUAGGGUUUAAAAUUUUUAAUUAAUUAAAUUUAUUUAAUUAAAAAUUCAUCCUCAUUCUAUUAGGAAAUUUAAGUUGACAUUUAAAAUCUAGUUGGACUGCCACGUAGGAUUACCGUUAGGAAGAUAAUGGAACUUAACGGAAGAGUGAUCACUUUGUUACAAAAAAAUAACAUAAGUAACUAAAACGUAACAUUUCAAACAUAAGUGACUAAAAUGUAACUUGAGACAAACAAAAGUGACUAUUUUUGUAAUUUACCCAAAUCUAAAAGAAACCUAAAACAAAAACCCUAAAAUUCAUAAAUAAAAACUCUAAGAAAACCCUAAAACCCCCUAAAUCAGUCGAGGAGAGAAAAUAGGGAAAACACAUCCAGUUGGAAGCGUUUCUUGUAAAAUUCGCUGAAAACGUGUCCAACUGGAUGCAUUUUCACAGUCUCUCCAAAAUCGGCUUAUUUCGAUAAAGUUCAGAAAAUCUGGCCUAAUCCGAUAAUUUUGGUUAAAAAUCAACAUAUAUGGGUAUUUCACCCCAAGCCUAUUACUUAUAAUUUAUUAAAUAAAAAUUAUCUUAAUUAAAAUAUCAUUUUAAUAAAAUGUUUAAAUUUCACAUUAAAAAAAUCUAUUAAUUAUAUUUUAUUAAAUGAAAAUAAUCUUUAAUGAGUGGAAUUAUAGAUAUCAAUUAAAUAAAUUAUUAAGUUCUCUAAUUAAAUAUUUUACUAUAAAUUUAGAACAUCAUAAACUUUUAAAUUAAUUACUUGAAUUUAAUAACUCAUGAUAAAUUAAUUAAUUCAAUUUGAUAACUCAUACCGAUUAAUUAAACUUGUUAGAUUGAUGAAUUUUAUAAUUAAUAAUGUAAAAGAAUGUAAAAUAAAAUAUGCAUAAAAAUAAUAAUGCAUGAAUCUAAGAUGCGUCUUUUAAUUUUGUUGAUUUGAUUUUCACUUAUUUUUCUUAUAUAAUUCUCAUUGUCUUUAUUUAAUAGAAAUUCACUAUAUGAAUUCUAAUGUAGACUUAGAAUAAUUAUCUAUCUGUUGACUUAGAAUAAUUAUCUAUCUUUUUCAUAUAAUUUUCAUAUAAGUUCUUACCAAACUUCUAACCUUUUUCUUUUCGUAACAACUUAUUUAUUCGCAUUAUUUAUAGUUUUGUUAAAUUUAUACACUAUCUUUUAAUUUUUAAAUAAAAAUAUAUCCAAGUCACUUUAUGUCAGCAUUUUGCUAUAACAUCUAAGUUUCUAAUAGAACCAAUUUCUUAUAUUUUAUAUUUUAACUUUCUAUAACAUCUUUUCACUUACAAUAGCAAUAACCAUAGUUAUGAAGUACAUUUGUAACACCCUCGAACCCGACCUAGACGUUAUGGUCGAAUCUGGAGGAGUUACAUUGACUUAUUUGAUAUGAAAUCUUAAUUUAGCUAAGCUCAUCUAAAUUUCAAAGAAAUCUUAAGUUUGAGAACACCUAUUUCACAACAAAAUCUCUUAAACAUUUUACUUAUAAAAAUAGCAGAAACUUUUAGAAAUUGCACUCUAACUUAAGUAGUUCCAUGAUUAGAAAUUAUUAAUUUUGGAAAAACUCUUACAUUGUUAUUUAGAAAAGCUCAUGCGCAGAACUUACUCUUUUUAUAGAAAAAUAUUUAAUUUGAUACUUAAUUUUGUAACAGAAAACUUCCAAAGUUUCAGUUUUGAAAUCCGAAUUUUAGUUUGUUAACCUGUGCAAUUUUCUUAGUUUUUACAUUUGAAAAUAUCAAAUAUCAAUGAACAAAACCAAAACAAAGCCCAGAAAAGGAUUGCAGUCCUAAAAGUCCAGAAAAUUUACUAACGUAAAUCACCAUAUUCAAUUAACUGAGAAAACAAUCUGAGCUCUUACACACUGUCUGGUCCUAAGUCUGAAGUUCACCUAAAACGAAUUAAACAAACGAGUGAGCUAAAAGCCCGGUGUGUGACUUGGCCCACAAAACAGAAUUUUCUUAUAACAUACACAAAUGUAAAUACCAAUACAGAAUUUUACUUAUAAUGUUCACAUGCAUGAAUAUCAUAUCAGAAUGUCGCAUUACCAAACACAUAUAUCAAAUUAGAAUGUCAUAUUUCUAGAAACAUAUAUCAUAUCAAAAUGUUAUAUCAUAUUAGAACAAAUCCUACCCCUAUCUGCUACACACCAACUCUGUUCAACCAAUUAUACCAAAUAAGGUUACAUGAGUCCAUCCAUCCAAACACAUCAGGUCGUAGUGGUAUGCCACUCAUAAUGGUGCAGUUGAGCUGCCAAAUAUAUAUUGCAGUUUAACUUCCAAAAUUGCAGUAAAACUACCAUAGACACUUCUUCCAACAUCUCAAAACCCACCCCAAUGCAUAUGCAUAAUCAUGAUAGCAUACAUACAUAUCUCAUAAGUUGUAUGUCAUGCAUACCUAAACAUAUAAGCAUAACAGAUCAAAUACCUUAUAUAAAAUGAAACUUACCUAACAUGUUUCCUAAGUAUACUCAUGCGUACAUAACUUUAUGUUUUUAAAAUCCUACAAAAUGUCCACGGAUCCAACUUUAUAGUCCCUUAAUCGAUCCCUAAUCGGGCCUUUAAAUUGUCCCCAAAAGGCCCAUACGGUCUGCCACACGACCUACCACACAGUCGUUGACCCACACAACCUACCAAAUGGUUUAGUUAAUAUUUAAAAAAUUAUGUUUCGAGAUGAAUACUAUGUUUUUCAUAUGAUCAAAUUAGCAAAUUCAUGGUUAUGAUUUGGAUUUGAGUAUUAUGAUUUUAGAAGAUUGAGCAAUAAAAUAUUUAAUAUGUUCCAAAUUGGAAGCCUAUUUUACAUUAGGCGAUAUGUGAUUUGAAUAUGAAACAGAAUUGAAAUGUGAAUUAUAUGAAAAUAGAAUUGAAAUGGAUAAUGAAAUUUAGUUUUUACCCCAUUUCACUAAGUUAGACUAAAUCAGAUAUAGUUGGCAUGCCAUAGAGUCUUUAUGUCAGAGAAUUUAGAUCUCCCUAGUUCUUAGAGGGUCGAGGGAGAUAAGGCCAAGUUGGUCAGUUGUUAUUAUUGUUAGCCCUAAUUCCUAAAGGGUUGUGGGCAAUCCCAAUUCCCAGAGGGUCGUGGACUACUCUGAUAGCCAUCAUUGCCGAACAACUCGAGGUGGCGGAUUCGUGUAUCUAGUUAUGAGUCUAAAGUUUAGUACGGGUUCUAAAUUAAAAGAAAAGAAAAGAAAAUUGAAUUUAUUUGAAUUUCCAUAUUGUGCAAAUUAAUUUAAUUACACAAUUUUGAAUUUAAUGAAAAAGCUUAUUUUCUUUAUUCGAAUUGUCAAUAUCAAAAUAUUAAAGUUUAUUAGUAUUAGAAUUUUCUUUUAUUGUGAUGUUAUUAAUGGUAUUUAUAAUUAUGUUUUAGUUUAUUUCUACCCAUUAAUUUGUGUCCAAUACUUAUGUAAUGAUUUAUGUGAUAUUAGCACCACUGAGCAUAAAAAUUGCUCAGUGUACUGUUUGUCUAUUUUUCAGUGUGCAGGUAGUUAGAUUCGUUAGAUCAUUCUAGCAGCACCCAAAAAACCGAAGUCCAGCUCAAACAAUGUUGGUGAAAAGUUUACUUUAUAGUUGAUGUAAAUGGCAUGUACCUAGGCUUAUAUAUAUAAUAUUAUGUUGUAAACUAAAUUUAAAUAUUUUCAUUAUGUUUUCUUAGCUAGUAUUUUAUAACUAAUGUUUUGAUAAAAUAGUAAAGCAUAGAAAUCUAGUUUAUUGAUAUGUUUUGAGAAAUCGUAGUGCUAGGAAUUGAUUUGGGAGAGAAUUUGAAUGUGGAUAUAUUGUGAAAAUCUAAAUUAUUUUGCAGGGGGUUUUAUGUAAAAUAGGCAGAAAUGCUGCCGAAAUUUUUUUAGAAUAAUUUUACCAGUACGUUUCCUUUUCAAAAUAAAAAUGAAAAAGUGAGUUGUUUCGACAACGAAAUGUGGCAUUUUAUAUUCGGAUCCAACAACUGGGUCAGGUAUAAGGUGUCACAUUUGAGUGGUAUCAGAGUUAUCUGAAUUUGAUAUCGGAUGUGUAAAAAUGUGAUGUAUUAUGUAUAGUGAAGUUUAGUGUACAUGCCAUUUUUAAAUGUUGAGUUGGAGCUGAAAUCUGAUGCUGAAAUUGUUUUGUUUGAAGUUUUGUAUAGUAAUAUGCUUGAGAAAUUGAAAGAUAGUAUGAAACGAGAAGUAGAAGACGAAAAUAGAACCAAUGCACCUAGUGAAGAGGAAACUAGUGUUCAUCAGUCCCCGAGAACUUCCAAAAAGAGAAAGUUGGCUCAAGGUGAUGAUCUAUUAUUGUGUAUUGUUGUUGAUUUGUUAUAGAGAGUUGUUGGUAUUACACCUCAACCUGCACCUCUCGCUAGAUAGAGAGGUUCUUUUAUUCAAGAAGUAAGAAAACACGGGGCCACUAAGUUUAGAGGCGUGGGAGGUGUUGAUCCUUCUAUUGCUGAAGAAUGGUUAGAAUCAGUUGAAAGGAUAUUCAAACAAUUAGAAUGUACCCCAGCUAAGUGUUUGAAGUGUGUUGUGUCUCUAUUGCAAGGAUAUGCCUUUCAUUGGUGGAGACCAGUGGUUCGUUCCCAUCAUGCAUGUAACAUCCCUUACCCGAGACCGUUUCCGGAGUCGAGCACGAGGCGUUACCUGACUUAACUUACUAGUUCAGAGCAUAAAAAAAUUGCUUUUAAAAUUAAUUCACUCACAUUCAAUCAAUAUGUCCCUAAAAGAACUCUCGAGACCCUAAAACAUGCAACGGAAAUGAUUUGGGCCCCAACCGGGAACAUUAAAAAUUUUUCGAUUACUUAAACAAAUAAAAAAUAAUUUAUUUCACUAUUCACAAUAAAACUGUUCACCUACGCAGCAGUCACUAAAUUAAUUAUAACUCGAGUUACAAAAAUCAAAAUUUAGAUCUGUAAAUUUUAUCUGAAACUAAACUCAUAUAAAUUCUUACCAUAAAAUUUUUAGAAUUUUUGGGUAGACUAAUUAGUAGAGUUUAUUAGUUAAAGUCUCCCCUAUUUCACCGGUCGAUAGUCCCAACCUCUCAUCACUAAAAAUUAAUUAUCUAAUUUUAUAGACUUCAUAUGGAGCUAAAAAUUAUUUCUACUGAAAAUAGACUCAAUAAGGAAUCAAAAUAUAUAAAUUAUAACUUCUAAUUAUUUCUGUACAAUUUUUAAUGAUAUUCUAAAGUCAGAACAUGGGACUUUAGAAUCCAUUCUGACCCUGUCUCACUAAAAUUAAAAUAUUUCAUAAUAUAAAAUUCCUUUACCCACACCGUUAUUUUUCUAUGAAAAUAGACUCGAUAAGAUUUAAUUAUAUAUAUUAUUCACUCUCUAAUUAAUUUUAUACAAUCCUUGAUGAUUUUUCAAAGUCACGUCACUGCUGCUGUCCCAAAACUGUUUCAUUGCAAAUUUUUACUCUUUCAUAAUUUCUAGGUAUAAACUAUCACCUAGACAUUCAUAAUACCAAACAUAUUCUUAUUUAGCCAUUUUAAUAGCUAAACAUUAUCAAAUAUUUACACAUCAUCCUUUAGCAAUAUCAUAAGGACAUACAUUCAAAAUGACUAAGUCCCUAUACAUGCCAUAGCUCAAACAUUGGUCAUCAUAAAAUACCGAGUUGUUGUUGAUAGUGUGAGCAUUCUCCGACGUAUUUAAGAUCCCCGAAUUAGCUUUGCAAUACUAUAAAAGAAGGAAAAUAAAGGAAGUAAGCAUAAAGCUUAGUAAGUUUACAAGCAAAUAAACAACAACGUUUAACACAAAUAAAUAUACUCAAGUGUCAUGAUUUCUAAUUUCCUCUUUACUUAAUCUCUUACUCGUUCACUUACUUGUUUACUUAGAAAACUCAUGAUUAUAACUUACUCUUCUCUUUAUGAAAUGUUGGUUCUCAAUUGAUAACAUAAUAUCUUCUUAACUUUUAUAACUCACCUGAAUUUUCUAUUUAUGCUUUUACCUGAACUUUCAUGGAACAUAAUUUGUUUACUAGCCCGUUGAGCCGCAUUGGAAUAAUAAGGAUACUUGGGUCUCUUUUCUGAUAAUAACAUGCCAAAGCCAUGUCCCAGACAUGGUCUUACAUGGGAUGUUUCUUGUACUGCCAAAGUCAUAUCCUAGAUAUGGUCUUACGUGGGAGUUCUCAUAUCGGUGCCCAUGCCAUGUCCCAGACAUGGUCUUACAGGAGACCUCUCAUCUCGGUGCCAACGCCAUGUCCCAGACAUGGUCUUACAUGGGACCUCUCAUAAUCUCAAUGAUGCCAAUGCCAUGUCCCAGACAUGGUCUUACAUGGGAUCUCUUUACCCAAAUGUCGUGACAUUUGUAUCCGAUAUAUUCCUUAUGUUUCAAUGGGACUGUUAUCACUGAUUCUCUGUCAUCUCAUAAUUAAGUCAACAUUAAAUAAUUUCAUAAAAUAAAUACAUAAUUUAUGGAAAAUAGCAGCAUUAAUAAUAAUUAUUAAAAUAUUGCAUUUAUUUACUGUAAUCUUACCUCGGUACAAAAUUUGACCAAAUCUAGCAACUUAGUCCUCUAUCUUUUUCUUUCCCCCGUUCUAACUCCGAAUUUCGUUCUUCUUGAUCUAUAAUAGCAAAUUUAGCUUAUUUAAUACUCAUAUUCAUCAAAACAAACCUUGACUCGAACUUUGAAAAAAUUAUGAUUUUGCCCCUAAAUUUUGCAUAAUUACACUUUUGCCCCAAAGCUCGAAAAUUAAACUUCAUCUGUUAUUCUUAUGUUUCAUGACAUGCUGAAAUUUUUUCUCUUCUAUGGAAACAUCAAAUUCCCACUCUAGCAUGUACUUAUGAACAUUAGGUAUUUUUACCGAUUAUGUCGUUUACUCGUUUUCACUUAAAAUCGACUAGCAAAAGUUGUUUAACAUAAUUUGUAGCUUCAUAUUCUAUCAUAAAACAUCAAAAUAAACAUAUUUCUCCUAUGAGUAUUUUUCCAAAUAUAAACCCUAGGUUAAAUUAUUGCUAGAAUAAGCUAAAUCAAGUUACCAGAACUCAAAAAACGUAAAGAACAUUAAGAACGAGGCUUGGGAUCACUUACUAUGGAGCUUGGAAGUUUGAAAACCCUAACUAUGGCUUCCCCCCUUGUUAAUUUCGUCCAAAUGAUGAAGAUGAGACAAUAUGCCAUCUUUUUCCCUUUUAAUUCAUUUUAAUUACUGAAUUACCAAAAUGCCCCUAACUUAAAAAUUUCCUAUUUCAUUCAUCUCAUGUCCAUUUUUGUCCAUAACUUAACCAAUGGUCUAAUUACCAUAUAAAGACCUCCAAUUUAAAAUUUCAUAACAAUUGGACACCUCUAACAUGUAGAACUCAACUUUUGCACUUUUUACAAUUUAGUUCUUUUGACUAAAUUGAGUGUCCAAACGUCGAUAUUUUUGAACAAAAUUUUCAGAAAAUCAUUCCGUGAAAUUGUAGACCAUAAAAAUAUAAGAAAAAUAAAUUUUUCCUCAUCGAAUUUGUAGUCCCGAAACAACUGUUCCGACUAAGCCCAAAAUCGGGAUGUUACAUUUCUCUCCCCCAUUUAAGGAUUUUCGUCCUCGAAAAUCUUACUUGUGAAGAGAUUUUGGUAUUGUUUUCGCAUAGCCUUUUUGAGCUCCCACGUAGCCUCAUCAACCCUAUGCCUAUUCCAUAACACCUUCACAAGUGCAAUACUUUUGUUCCUUAAUUGCUUGAUCUCUCUAUCUAAAAUUUUUACCGGUUCUUCAACAUAAGUCAUGUCUGGCUGAAUCUCAACCUCUGUCAGUAAAAUCACAUGUGACGGAUCGGAACGAUAACGACGUAACAUAGACACAUGGAAUACAUUAUGAAUCUUCUCUAACUUAGUUGUUAAAGCUAACCGAUAUGCUAAGGGACCAAUUCUUUCAGUCACCUCGAACGGUCCAAUGAAACAUGGACUUAGUUUGCCUUUCUUGCCAAAUCUGAAAAUUUUCUUCCACGGGGAUACUUUCAAAAAUACUCUGUCACCAACUUGAAACUCAAUCUCUUUUCUUUUCAAAUCUACAUAAGAUUUCUGUCUAUCCGAAGCUGCUUUCAAGCAAUCCUUAAUGACUUUUACUUUCUCUUUUGUUUCUUUGACUAGGUCAACCCCGUAAAUCUAAUUUUCUUUAAGCUCUGUCCAAUACAAAGGUGUACAACACUUACGUCCACACAAAGCUUCAUAAGGUGCCAUCUCUAAACUCGACUGAUAACUAUUAUUAUAGGUAAACUCUACCAACGGCAAAUAUUUCUCCCAACUACCUUGAAAUUCUAAAACACAACAUCUGAGCAUAUCCUCGAGUACCUGAAUAACUCUCUCUGACUGACCAUCGGUCUAAGGAUGGAAAGUUGUACUAAAACUCAACUUUGUGCCCAAAGCUUCCUGCAAUUUCUUCCAAAAUCAUGAAGUAAAUCUUGGAUCUCUAUCUGAGAUAAUCGAUAACGGUACUCCAUAUAGUCUGACUAUCUCUAAAAUAUACAACUCGGCCAACUUGUUAAGUGAAUAAUUCAUACGAACUAGAAUAAAAUGAGCUGAUUUCGUUAGCUUAUCAAUCACAACCUAUAUUGUAUCUUUCUUUCUCAGUGUCAAAAACAACCAGAUUACAAAAUCCAUGGGAACUUGGUCCCAUUUCCACUUAGGAACUAACACAGGCUGCAAUAAACCUAAAGGUACCUGAUGUUCGACCUUUACCUGCUGACAAAUUAAGCAUCUAGAAACAAAUUCUGAAAUAUCUCUUUUCAUUCCUACCCACCAGUACAUUUUCUUCAAAUCAUUAUACAUCUUUGUACUACUUGGGUGAAUAGACAAAGAACUGCUAUGUGCUUCUUGUAAAAUCUUUCAAACAAACUUAUCAUUCUUCGGUACACAUAUUUGAUUUCUGAACAUCAAACAACCAUCAGAACCGAUCUGAAAAUUAGACUCUACACCUGUCUCACACUGAGCUCUUUUAGCUUGUAACUCACUAUCAUUUUUUUGAGCUUUACAGAUUUCUUCAAGAAACAUCGGUUUAGCUUUCAACUCAGCUAAAAUAGAACCGUCAUCUGAUAAUGCCAAACUAGUAUUCAAAGAUCUCAAUGUAAAUAAAGAAUUUCUACUCAAGGCAUCAGCAAUAACAUUUGCCUUACCCGGGUGAUAAUCGAUCACUAGCUCAUAAUCUUUAAUCAACUCUAGCCAUCUUCUUUACCUCAAGUUCAAAUCUUUUUGAGUCAUCAAGUAUUUCAAACUUGACAUCUUUCUGCAAUAAUCUUGCCAAUGGGGUAACGAAGAAAACUUCUAACAUCUGAUACAUUCCUGGGUGGUUUUCACUCAACAAUUCUAAAAUUUUACUCGGAUAAACUUUAAUACCAUCAUCUGAGACAAUGUGCCCAAGGAAUCUGACUUCUCAAAGCCAGAACUCACUUUUGCUAAACUUGGCAUAGAACUGAUUGUCCCUCAAAAUCUACAAAACUAUUCUCAAAUGUUCGACAUGUUCAGUCUCAUCAGGAGAAUAAAUCAGAAUAUCAUCAAUAAACACAAAUACAAACUUGUGCAAGUACGGUUAACCCGCAACUGAUAGUAACCGGAUCUCAAAUCUAUCUUGGAGAACACAGUGGCUCCCUUCAAUUGGUCAAACAGAUCAUCAAUUCUAGGCAGUGGAUAUUUAUUUUUUGUUAUCACUUUGUUUAGCUACCGAUAAUCUAUACACAACCUCGUCGAACCAUCUUUUUUUUUCACAAAAAGCACUAGUGCACCCUACGGAGAACAAUUAGGCCUUACAAAACCUUUUAGGCCUUACAAAACCUUUAUCAGUUAAUUCCUGCAACUGAGCUUUCAAUUCUUUCAAUUCCAUCGGAGCCAUUCUAUAAGGAGCAAUAGAAAUAGGAGUGGUACCUGGAAUAAACUCAAUACCAAACUCAACUUCUCUAAUAAGAGGCAAACCUGACAAUUCUUCCGAAAACACAUCGGAAAACUCUCAAACUACUGGCAUUGAAUCAAUUUUCAACUCUAGAUCUUUAGCAUUCAAUACAAAAGCAAGAUAAGCUUCAUACCCUUUUCUUAAACAUUCCUGAGCAAACAUAACAGAAAUCAUGGCAAGAGAACUAUCUGACUCAUCUGCCUUUUCUUCGAGUCUUGAACUUCAAUUUCAUCUUUGCCUUUUUCUUUUUCUUUUAACAACUCCUCUGCCUUACAGGCUCUUUCAACUAGAACAACAAACUCUUUUAUCCUUAGAACACCAAUUGACAGUCGGAUAUCAUUAUUGAGCCCAUCCUCAAAUCUUUUACACAUAAUAGUUUCUGUAGAUACACACUCUCCAGCAUACUUGCAGAGUCUGACAAAUUCACGUUCAUAUUCAAUAACAGUCAUCUUACCCUGCUUUAACUCAAGGAACUCUUUUCUUUUCUGGUCAAUAAACCUCUGACUGAUAUACUUUUUACGGAACUCCUCCUGAAAGAAAUCCCAAGUAACUCUCUCACUCAAUACAACUGACACAAGAGUCUUCCACCAAUGAUGGGCCAAAUUUCUAAGGAGUGAGACAACACACUUCAUGCAUUCUUCAGGUGUACAGUAUAAUUCAUCAAAAACUCUGAUAGUAUUCUCGAGCCAAAAUUCAGCUUCCUCUGCAUCAUCAUCUUUAGUAGCCCAAAACUCUUCAGCCCCUUAUUUUCUGAUCUUAUCAACUGGUGGUCUUUCCCUUAUAACUAUACCUGCGACUGGGGAAGCUACAUGGGGAACCUGAGAAUCAUGAGGGGGUGGAGGUCUAACAGCCAGAUUCGUACGAAUGAACUCGGGAAACCAUUCAUUCAUAGCUUGGAAGAAGGCUUUUCGAGCCCUUCCUCCCUGACUAACUGUAACAGGCCUUUCACUACCAUAUGGUGGCACCGUCCUUUCUGGGAGAGCGGGCGCAUUACUUUCUACAUCAUCUGUACCAGCUCUUUCGGGAUCCAUAACUAUAAAAGAAAAACGUUUUAAAAUCUUCAGGAGUCGUCACACUAUCAAAAUACAAGUAUGGCAUGUAUAGCUAGACUCUUAUUCAUACUGAAUAUUUUGAGAACCGGCUAAACCUACUCUGAUACCAACAAAUGUAACAUCCCUUACCCGAGACCAUUGCCGGAGUCAAGCACAAGGCGUUACCUAACUUAACUUACUAGUUCGGAGCAUAAAAAAAUUUUCUUUUAUAACUAAUUCGCUCACAUUCAAUCAAUAUGACCCUAAAAUAACUCUCGAGACCCUAAAACAUGCAACAAAAAUGAUUCUGGCCCCAACUGGGAACAUUAAAAAUUUUCCGAUUACUUAAACAAAUAAAAAAUAAUUUAUUUCACUAUUCACAAUAAAACUGUUCACCUGUGCAGCAGUCACUAAAUUAAUUAUAAGUGAAGUUACAAAACUCGAAAUUUAGAUCCGUAAAUUUUAUCCGAAACUACACUCAUAUAAAUUCUUACCAUAAAAUUUUUAGAAUUUUUGGGUCGACUAAUUAGUAGAGUUUAUUAGUUAAAGUAUCCCCUGUUUCACCGUUCGAUAGUCCCAACCUCUCAUCACUAAAAAUUAAUUAUCUCAUUUUAUAGACUUCAUAUGGAGCUAAAAAUUAUUUCUACUGAAAAUAGACUCAAUAAGGAAUCAAAAUAUAUAAAUUAUAACUUCUAAUUAUUUUUGUACAAUUUUUAAUGAUUUUCUAAAGUCAGAACAUGAGACUUUAGAAUCCAUUCUGACCCUGUCUCACUAAAAUUCAAAUAUUUCAGAAUAUAAAAUUCCUUUACCCACAUCGUUAUUUUUCUAUGAAAAUAUACUCGAUAAGCUUUAAUUAUAUAUAUCAUUCAAUCUCUAAUUCAUUUUAUACUAUCCUUGAUGAUUUUUCAAAAUUAUGUCACUGCUGCGGUCCCAAAACUGUUUCAUUGCAAAUUUUUACUCUUUCAUAAUUUCUAGGUAUAAACUAUCACCUAGACAUUCAUAAUACCAAACAUAUUCUUACUUAGCCAUUUUAAUAGCUAAAUAUUAUCACAUAUUUACACAUCAUCCUUUAGCAAUACCAUAAGGACAUACAUUCAAAAUGACUAAGUCCCUAUACGUGCCAUAGCUCAAACAUUGAUCAUCAUAAAAUACCGAGUUGUUAUUGUUGAUAGUGUGAGUGUUCUCCGACGUCUUUAAGAUCCCCAAAUUAGCUUUGCAAUACUAUAAAAGAAGGAAAAUAAAGGAAGUAAGAAUAAAGCUUAGUAAGUUUACAAGCAAAUAAAUAACAACAUUUAACACAAAUAAAUAUACUCAAGUGUCAUGAUUUCUAAUUUCCUCUUUCCUUAAUCUCUUACUCGUUCACUUACUUGUUUACUUAGAUAACUCAUGAUUAUAACUUACUCUUCUCUCGCUGAAAUGUUGGUUCUCAAUUGAUAACAUAAUAUGUUCUUAACUUUUAUAACUCACCUGAAUUUGCUAUUUAUGCUUUUACCUGAACUUUCAUGGAUCAUAAUUUGUUUACUAGCCCGUUGAGCCACAUUGGAAUAAUAAGAAUACUUGGGUCUCUUUUCUGAUUAUAACAUGCCAAAGCCAUGUCCCAGACAUGGUCUUACAUGGGAUGUUUCUUGUACUUCCAAUGCCAUAUCCCAGAUAUGGUCUUACAUGGGAGUUCUCAUAUCGGUGCCCAUGCCAUAUCCCAGACAUGGUCUUACGAGGGACAUCUCAUCUCGGUGCCAACGCCAUGUCCCAGACAUGGUCUUACAUGGGACCUCUCAUAAUCUCAAUGAUGCCAAUGCCAUGUCCCAUACAUGGUCUUACAUGGGAUAUUUACCCAAAUGUCAUGACAUUUGUAUCCGAUAUAUUCCUUAUGUUUCAACGGGACUUUUAUCACUGAUUCUCUGUCAUCUCAUACUUAAGUCAACAUUAAAUAAUUUCAUAAAAUGAAUACAUAAUUUAUGGAAAAUAGCAGCAUUAAUAAUAAUUAUUGAAAUAUUGCAUUUGUUUACUGUAAUCUUACCUUGGUACAAAAUUUGACCAAAUCUAGCAACUUAGUCCUCUAUCUUUUUCUUUCCCCGGUCUAACUCUGAAUUUCGUUCUUCUUGAUCUAUAAUAGAAAAUUUAGCUUAUUUAAUACUCACAUUCAUCAAAACAAACCUUGACUCAAACUUUGAAAAAAUUAUGAUUUUGCCCUUAAAUUUUGCAUAAUUACAUUUUUUCCCCAAAGCUCGGAAAUUAAACUUCAUCUCUUAUUCGUAUGUUUUAUGACAUGCUGCAAAUUUUCCCUUCUAUGGCAACAUCAAAUUCCCACUCUAGCAUGUACUUAUGAACAUUAGGUAUUUUUACCGAUUAUGUCGUUUACUCGUUUUCACUUAAAAUCGACUAGAAAAAGUUGUUUAACAUAAUUUCUAGCUUCAUAUUCUAUCAUAAAACAUCAAAAUAAACAUAUUUCACCUAUGGGUAUUUUUGAAAAUAUUAACCGUAGGUUAAAUUAUUGCUAGAAUAAGCUAAAUCAAGUUACCGGGACUCUAAAAAUGUAAAGAACAUUAAGAACGGGGCUUGGGAUCAGUUACUAUGGAGCUUGGAAGUUUGAAAACCCUAACUAUGGCUUCCCCCCUUGUUAAUUUCGUCCAAAUGAAGAAGAUGAGCACAAUUUGCCAUCUUUUUCCCUUUUAAUUCAUUUUAAUUACUAAAUUUCCAAAAUGCCCCUAACUUAAAAAUUUCCUAUUUCACUUAUCUCAUGUCCAUUUUUGUCCAAAACUUUACCAAUGGUCUAAUUACCAUAUAAAGGCCUCCAAUUUAAAAUUUCAUAAUAAUUGGACACCUCUAACAUGUAGAACUCAAAUUUUUCACUUUUUACAAUUUAGUUCUUUUGACUAAAUUGAGUGCCCAAACGUCGAAAUGUUUGAACAAAAUUUUCACAAAAUCAUUCCGUGAAAUUGUAAACCAUAAAAAUAUAAAAAAAAUAAUUUUUUUCUCAUCAGAUUUGUGGUCCCGAAACUACUGUUCCGACUAAGCCCAAAAUCGAGAUGUUAUAGUGCAGAUCAGAUUCAUUGGGAGUUGUUUCAAACAAAGUUUAACAAGAGGUAUGUUGGAGAAUUGUAUCUAGAAUAAAAGAAGAAAAAGUUUUGUUGAGCUAUAACAGGGAAAGAUGAACAUUAUCGAUUAUGAACGAGAAUUUCUUCGUCUAUUCAAGUAUGCUCCAGAAUUGGUUCUUACUGAGGAAGCUACUUGCAAACGCUUCUACUAGAGAUUGAGAAAUGAGAUUAAAUUCCAACUAGCUUCUCACAAGAUUAUAGAGAUUGAUGAUAUGGUAGAAAGAGCCAAGAUGGUAGAGUAAGCAAUGGGGUUAGAUAAAGAGAAAGUGGAUGACAAAGCUCAAGGAAAAAGGUUGAUUGGUUCUAACUGACAGCCACCUUCUAAAGAAGCUAGUGAUUUCAGAAGUCAAGGGAGAUCCACUACACUUCAGAUUGUUGUUGAGGGCAGAAGCCGAUCUAGACAGUCAUUUGCUCUAAUAGCCAGAAUAGAUCGUCUUGGUCGUACUAUUUGGAUACCACAGUGUGAUUAUUGCGGGAAGAGUAAUAAAAGAGAGUGCUGGCGUAAGACCGGAGCAUGUAUUAGAUGUGGUUCGAUGGAGCAUUACAUUUGAGAUUGUCUAAAGUCGGUUGAUGUUACCCUUGUGUCACCUCAGAGAUCAACUUCUACACCUUGAGGUCGUGGUAGUACCUGAGGUGGUGUUGGUUGCAGAGGUAAUCAAAGGAGAGUCACUGAUUCGUCUGCGAGUUGUGCCAAGGCUACCAUUCCUGCUAGAGUCUACACAUUCAUACAUGAGAACUAGGUUGAUUAAUAUAAAAAACUAAUAGUUGAGAUAUCUGAGGUUAGAAUUAAUGUUUCAAAUAUGAUGGGACAUUUGAUGAAAGUAAAUCAAGUAUAUAGGCGGUGCCUUAUUGAGAUUCAAGGUAAAAUAUUUUUGGUUGAUUUAUUGUUUAUGCCAUUUGAUGAAUUUGAUGUGAUUUUGGGAAUGGAUUGGCUGUUAGACAAUGGUGUAAUUCUUGAUUGCAAGAAGAAAAAGUUUAAGAUACAAGAUUCAAAUGGUGAAAAGAUGGAUGUGAAAGGUAUGAAACCAGUUGGUCUUACCCAAAUAAUCUCAGUAAUAAAGGUAGAUAAUUUGAUUAACCAAAGUUGUGAAGCAUUUCUUGCUUAUGUCAUAAAUUCGACUGCGAAAAGUCUGAAAUUAGAGGAAAUUUGUACGGUGUGUGAAUUUUUAGAUGUGUUUCCGGAAGAAUUACCAGGACUUCCACCUGAUUGAGAGGUGGAGUUUGCAAUUGAAGUUUAUCUGGAAACUACUCCAGUAUCUAUUGCCCCUUAUCGCAUGUUGCUAAAAGAAUUGAAAGUACAAUUGAAAGAUUUAUUAGAUCGAGGCUUUAUACGACCCAACGUAUCACCUUGGAGCGCACCAAUAUUGUUUGUAAAGAAGAAAGAUGGUUCGUUGCCGUUGUAUAUCGAUUAUCGACAGUUAAACAAGGUGACAACAAAGAAUAAAUAUCCCUUGCCUCGUAUUGAUGAUUUAUUUGAUCAAUUGAAAGGUACAAUAGUAUUCUUUAAAAUUGAUUUGAGAUUUGGUUAUUACCAAUUGAAGGUGAAAGAAAGUGAUAUAUCGAAGACUGCUUUUUGAACCAGAUAUGGACAUUAUGAAUUUUUGGUGAUGUCUUUUGGGCUAACUAAUGCUUUUGCUUCAUUCAUAGAUCUCAUGAAUCACAUUUUUCAACCAUAUUUAGAUCGGUUUGUAGUAGUGUUUAUUGAAUAUAUUUUAAUUUAUUCAAAGAUUGAGGAGGAGCAUGAUCAACAUUUACAUUUAAGGAUUGUACUGCAGAAAUUACGAGAAAAGCAGCUUUAUAGGAAACUUAGCAAGUGAGUUUUGGUUAUAUGAGGUAGUGUUUCUUGGGCAUAUAGUCUCAGCCGAAGAUAUCCGUGUAGACCCAAAGAAAGUUGAGGCCAUUCUGGAAUAAAAACAACCCAAAAAUAUUUUUGAGAUCCGUAACUUUUUGGGGUUAGCGAGAUACUAUCGUAGAUUCAUUGAAGGAUUUCCAAAGAUAGCUUUGCCCCUGACUCCACUACUCCAGAAGAAUGUACCAUUGAAAUGGGAUGAGCUGUGCCAGGAAAGUUUUGAUACGCUUAAGAAAUUGUUGAUAGGGGCUUUAGUGUUAACACUUCCGGAAGGGGGAAAGGAGUUUGUGGUAUAUAGUGAUGCUUCACUUAGUGAUCUUGGUUGUGUUUUGAUGCAAGAUAAAAAUGUGAUUGCGUAUGCUUCACAAAAACUAAGACCAUAUGAACGCAACUAUCUGACGCAUGAUUUAGAACUGGCAGCAGUGGUUUUUACAUUAAAAAUCUGGAGACACUAUUUAUAUGGUGAAAAGUGCUACAUCUACACAGAUCACAAAAGUUUGAAAUAUCUUCUCACCUAGAAAGAAUUGAACUUGGGGUAACGUUGUUGGAUAAAGCUAUUAAAAUAUUAUGAUUGUGUGAUUGAUUAUCAUCCAGGUAAAGCAAAUGUUGUUGCUGAUGCUUUGAGCUGAAAAUCUCUUGCUAAUUUGAGAUUAAUGUUUGCACAGUUGAGUGUUUGCGAAGAUGGUGCAUUAUUAGCUGAAUUAAUAGUGAAGCCGCAGUUAAUUGAGCAUAUUAGAGAGGCUCAGCAAAAUGAUGAUAAGGUGAUGGAAAAAAAAAAGCUCAAUUAAGCACAAUAGCUCAGGAAACUUUGAUAUUGGAGGUAAUGGUUGUGUAAGAUUUCAUGAAAGAAUUUAUGUGCCAAAAAAGGUUGAAUUGAAGAAUGAGAUACUUCAAGAGGCACAUAAUAGUCCUUAUGAUAUGUAUCCAGGAAGUACCAAUAUGUAUCAAGAUUUGAGAGAAUUGUAUUGGUGGCCAGGUAUGAAGAGAGAAUUACAGAAUAUACUACAAAGUGUCUAACUUGUCAAAAGGUGAAAGCUGAACACCAAGUUCUGACAGGAUUACUUUAGCCUAUAUUGAUUCUCGAGUUGAAAUGAGACAGAAUAACUACGGAUUUCAUUAUGGUUUACCUCUCACUCGAAAGAAGCAUAGCACAAUAUGGGUUAUAGUGGAUCGAUUGACAACUUAGCCCAUUUUCUACCAAUAAAGAUGGAUUGGUCAUUAGAUAAGCUUGCAGAAUUAUACAUAGUUGAGAUAGUGAGAUUGCAUGGUGUGCCAAAGUCUAUUAUUUCUGAUCGUGACCCCUGAUUUACAGCAAGAUUUUGGAGGAAGUUACAUGAAUCACUUGGCACCAGGUUGAACUUUAGUCCAGCUUUUCAUCCUCAAACAAAUGGCCAAUUAGAAUGCAUGAUUCAAUUAUUAGAAGAUAUGUUAUGAGCUUGCAUUAUUGACUUUGAUAGUGAUUGGGAACGGUAUCUACCUCUUGCGGAAUUUGUAUAUAACAAUAGUUUCCAAUCAAGUAUUCAAAUGGCACCGUAUGAAGCUCUAUAUGGACGUAAAUAUCAUACUCCGUUGUGUUGGACUGAACUUGGUGAAAAGAAUAUGGUUGGCCCAGAAUUAAUACAAGAAACUGAAGAAAAGGUUCGAGUAAUUAAAAAAAAAUUAAAAGUAGCUUUAUAUCGACAGAAGUCAUAUGCUAAUUUGAAGAGAAGAGAAAUUAAAUACGAAGUGGGAGAUAAAGUAUUUCUAAAAGUCUCUCCGUGGAAAAAGAUUAUGAGAUUUGGUCGAAAAGGAAAAUUAAGUCCGAGGUUUCAUACGGGAUUAUAGAAAGAAUUGGAUCUGUUGCUUAUCAGCUAGAUUUGCCACCAGAAUUAGAUUGAAUCCAUAAUGUGUUUCAUGUAUCGAUGCUCCAAAGAUAUAUAUAGGUCAAAUCCAUCUCAUAUUGUGUCAAUGGAAAACAUCUAGGUACGACCUGAUUUAUCGUGUGAAGAAGAACCAAUGCAAAUUUUAGCAAGAAACAUAAAAAAAUUGAGAAAUAAACGAAUUCCUUUGGUAAAAGUACUGUGGAGGAACCAUAACAUAGAAGAAGCUACUUGGGAACCUAAGGAUACAAUGCGAUCACAAUAUCCGUAACUCUUUAGGUAAAUUUUGAAGAGGGGGAGAAUUGUAACAUCCCCACUUUAAAAAAAAAAAAAGAAGAAGAAGAAUAUUUAUGGUAGAAGUCCUUGAAUAAAUGAUAUAUAAAUAAAUAGUAGUAUAAAAAUUGUGAUCGUUUUUAGAGAAAAUCAUCAGACAUGAAAACAUAGAGGAUUAUUAGUAGGAGUACGUGGUUAAGUUAAAAAUUCGAUAUCGAGCUCAGGGAUUAAAUUGAAUAAGUUAGAAAAGUAUAGAGACUAAAGUGCAUUAUCCUAUUUUAUUUUGAUGGAAAGGACUUAAUGACAAUUUUACUAUUACUUCAAAAAAACUCAAAAGUUUUAUGAAGGCUUUAAAUGAUAUUUUCAUUAAAUAAUUAUUAUUUAACAUUUUAUUUAAAAUAAUAGUAAUUUAUUAAAUAUUAUAAUAUAUAUAAAGAGAGAAAGAUAAGUUCUUUCUCACCUUUCUCAUGAAAGUUUGGGGGAAAAAAAAGAAAACCCCUUUCAUCAUUUUCCCUCAAUUUUAAGCUUAAGGUAUGGUUUUUGCUCAAAUUUUUUUUUUUAUAGAUUUUGAAUCUUUGAAGCUUGCUUUACAUAUAUAUACCAAUAGUUUUUUAUUUUAUCAAGUAUUUUGGAAGUUUCCAUUAAAGGACAUUAAUAGAAGCUUAGAAAACUUAAGUGAAAUAGAUAUAUUUUUGGAUAGGAAAUUAUUAGAAGAUGAGUUCUAACUAGGGGUGAGCAUUCGAUCGAAUCGAAUCGAAAAUUUUCGAGUUAAUCGAGUUUUCGAAUCUCAUUUUAUCAUCCUAACUUUAUUUGAAGUUUUCUAGAAACGAGUCGAGUGAGAUGGAAUUCGAAUCGAAUCGAAUCGAAUAUAUUUGUUCGAGUUAAAUUUUAAAAAAUAAUUUUGGGUCCUUGUAACCAUUGUCACCCAUCGUAAUAAAAUUUGUCCACCUUAAUCAAAUUUUUUAUUAACUUUCAUCACCUCAUAAUUUAUUUAUUAAUUUUUUAUAUAGUGGUUAGCUUAUUUGUUUGCUUAGUUGUUUCAAUUAUCUUCAGAUUCUUGUUACUAUGUAUUUUGGAAUUAAAAAAUAUAUUAAAUAUAAAAAUAUGAUUUUUUUAAUAAAAGUUAUUUUAAAAAUAAAAUGUAAAAUUGAUACCAAUAUAAAAUUUUAACACGAAUAUUUUAUGGCAUAAUUAAGAAUUCAAUUUUAAUAUAAAUAUUCAAUAUGACUAAACAAUUUAAUAACAUAAAUAAUAUAAAAUGUGAAAUUUAAUUUAAUAAUAUAAAUAGUAGAUAUACAUAAAAUUAUUACUAUUUAUGUUUAGUGAUUUUUUUUUUUGGAUAAUUUUGAUUUUUUAUUUGAGAGUAAAGGUGAGAAGUAAAAGUUUAGGGGAAAAUAAAAAGUUUUGGGGAAUAAAAGUUGAGGGAAAGUAAAUAAGGGGAGUAAAAUUUUGGNNNNNNNNNNNNNNNNNNNNNNNNNNNNNNNNNNNNNNNNNNNNNNNNNNNNNNNNNNNNNNNNNNNNNNNNNNNNNNNNNNNNNNNNNNNNNNNNNNNNAAAAGUGGGAGGGAGUAAAAAUUUUGGGGGAAAAUAAAAGGUUUUGAGGGUUUUGGGAGUAAAAUUUUGAGAAAAAGUAAAUGGAAGAGCAAAAUUUUGGUGGGAAAUGGAUUUUGAGUAGAUUGGGGGGGUUGGGAGGGGAGGAGAGUAAAAGUUUUGGGGGGAAAGUGGGAAGGAGUAAAAGUUUUGAGGGAAAAGUAAAAAAGUUUGGGAGUUUAGGGUAAAAAUGUAAAAUAUUAUAGUUUGAUAUUCGAAUUAUUCGAAUUAUUCGAGUUAUUCAAAUUCAAAAACUCAACUCGAUUUGAACUCGAAAUUCGAAAAAAAAAUCGAGUUGAUUCGAAUAACUCGAUUAACUCGAAUAACUCGAUUCGUUUAACUCGAAAUUCGAAUUUUUUUUGAUUUUUUCGAGUCGAAUCGAAUUUUGCUCACCCCUAGUUCUAACUUGUUAGAAGUCUGAAAAAGAAACAAAACUGGAUGAAAAGUUUAUUUGGUAUAUUUGGCCAUGUUAAAGGGGAAGUAGAGAACAUUGGCCACUUUGUGUAAUAUUGGUGCUAAAUGAUAGCUUGUGAAGCAGUGAUGACUCUGGUGAACAAGGAAUUGAAAACGAAUAAUCGAGUCGAAAGAUAUGCGAAUUUCGGACUAGGAAACUUAAGUUGCUAACUUGAUUAACCAUGCAUAUUUAAGUUUGUUUUUAUUAGUUUUAGUUUUAGAAUGGAUAAAUGAUGUUGUUUCGUAUUGAAUUGCUCCUAUUGUAGCUAAAAACGAAGCGAACAUUUUGAAGGAGAAAGGCGAAGAAAAGGAGUAAAGCGAUUAAAACUUUGGUUUGUGCUAAUAUCUUAUUUUCAUUACAUAAAGCUUUAGGAUAUUUAAUUUAUUAUGACUAGUUAUAUUGAUUUUAUUUUAUUUUAUUUUUAUGAGUUUUGGAUGAAUUUGAAGUUAAUAUUUAUAAAAUUAUGUUUCGAGAUGAAUACUAUGUUUUUCAUAUGAUCAAAUUAGCAAAUUCAUGGUUAUGAUUUGGAUUUGAGUAUUAUGAUUUUAGAUGAUUGAGCAAGAAAAUAUUUAAUAUGUUUCGAAUUGGAAGCCUAUUUUACAUUAGGCGUUAUGUGAUUUGAAUAUGAAACAGAAUUGAAAUGAGAAUUAUAUGAAAAUAGAGUUGAAAUGGAUAAUGAGAUUUGGUUUUUACCUCGUUUCACUAAGUUAGACUAAAUUAGAUAUAGUUGAUAUGCCAUAUAGUCUUUAUGUCAGAGAAUUUAGAUCUCCCCAAUUCCUAGAGGGUCGAGGGAGAAAAGGCCAAGUCGGUCAGCUGUUAUUAUUGUUAGUUCCCAGAGGGUCGUUGGUAGUCCCAAUUCCUAGAGGGUCGUUGGUAGUCCCAAUUCCCAAAGGGUUGUGGACUACUUUAAUAGCCAUCGUUGCCAAAGAACUCAAGGUGGUGAAUUCGUGUAUCUGGUUGUGAGUCUAAAGUUUAGUACGAGUUCUAAAUUGAAAGAAAAGAAAAAACAACACUUGAAUUUAUUUGAAUUUCCAUAUUGUGCAAAUUAAAUUAAUUACGCGAUUUUGAAUUUAACUAAAAAGCUUUUUUUUUCGAUUUUUCAAUAUCAAAAUAUUAAAGUUUAUUAAUAUUAGAAUUUUCUUUUAUUGUGAUGUUAUUAUUGAUAUUUAUAAUCAUGUUUUAGUUUAUUUCUAUCUAUUAAUUUGUGUCAAAUACUUAUGUAAUGAUUUAUGUGAUAUUAGCACCACUGAGCAUAAAAAUUGCUCAGCGUACUGUUUGUCUAUUUUUCCGUGCGCAGGUAGUUAGAUUCGUUAGAUCGUUCCAACAACAUCCGAAGAACCGAAGUUCAGCUCAAACAAUGUUGGUGAAGAGUUUACUUUAUAGUUGAUGUAAAUGGCAUGUACCUAGGCUUAUAUAUAUAAUAUUAUGUCAUAAACUGAAUUUAAAUAUUUUCAUUAUGUUUUCUUAGCUAGUAUUCUAUAACUAAUGUUUUGAUAAAAUAGUAAAGCGUAGAAAUCUAGUUUAUUGAUAUGUCUUGAGAAAUCGCAGUGCUAGGAAUUGAUUUGGGAGAUAAUUUGAAUGUGGAUAUUUGGGUCAUUCCUUGUAAAUGUUACAUAUAUGCGUGUGUUAAUUUGAUAGAUGAGGGUGGCAUUUGUUUAUAUGCGUAUGAGUGUGGUCAUGGUAUGCUAAAUCAAUUUGUUUAUAUGCGCAAGUCUAGAGUCUAGGAUGUGUUUGUUUUAGUUGGAAUUGUGGAAUGAUUUGUGCAAGGUUUUUGAUGCAUAUUUAUACUUGAUGUAGGUGACUAUUCGUAUGGGCCUAGAAUGACCAUUCAUUACUGAAUUCAUGCACAAAAAGAGUUCUAGAAUAUUCAAGAUCCAACCAUCAAUGUUGAUGCAUGUUCUCAAGCAAACUGUUUUGGGACAAACUUGAAAGAUGCAGAAAAUUCGAGCUUAAGAUUGAAGAGAAUGGAGUGCGUCGACCACAAGAAACACCAGUUUGAUUUAGAGUUAGGGAUUUUGAUUUGGCGGGUUUGAAUGAACUGAUGCAAAAGAAGAAGAAGAAGAAGAAGAAGAAUGGACUAUGGAGGGUUUAUUUUAGGGAUUUUUAAGAAAAGGAGAAGAAUGGAUUUGGGGUUUAAUUUAGGGUUUUUUAGAGAAAAAGAUAAAUUUUGGGGGUUUGAAACUUUGAAUUGAAUGGAAUAGUGAAUGGACAAUAGAGCUUACCAGCUUGGCGAGUUUGAUUUCAGGGAGGAAAUUGGGAAAAUGGAUUUGUGGGGCAAGCGAGAUUUGGGGGCAAAUCGGGUAAAAUAAAUUAAUAAAAGGGUUUGGGCUUGGAGAAUAUAAAUUUAAAAUUUUAAAAAAAUAUAGUUUGUAUUUUGUUCAUUCGAAUUAUUCAAGUUAUUCGAAUUCGAAAGUUCAACUCGACUCGAACUCAAAUUUUUUUAAAAAAAAUUAAGUUGAUUCGAUUAACUUGAUUCGAAUAAUUCGAACCUUUUCUUCAAUUUUUUCUAGUUGAAUCAAAUUUUGCUCACCUCUAGGUGUAGAUAAAGAAGCAGGGGUAGCAGAUGCAGUUGAUGAGGCAGAGCCAAACCCUAAUCCAAUAAUGCAGUGCAAUCUGGAUGGUUUAGAAGUGGCACUUGUUUUAGAACCAGAAACAAUUCCAAUAGAGAUAGAACUUUGUGAUUCUAACAAUGACGGCUCAAACAAUGCUCCUAAUCUAGACCCACGAUAAGGCAUAUGAACAUCUGCCCCAUAUGACCAAUAUCGACCUAUCUUUCGAGGGUGGUUUAGAGUGUCGACAGCUACCGCACAAAACACUUGGUCAUGCAAGCUUGUCGUGUGAUGUACGACUACUUGAAGUUAUAAUGGAAUACCCAAAUAAAGAUGCUUUCCUUACUGCACUGAAGCAGUACAACUUUAAGAGCAAGGUGAACUAUCAUGUCACAAAGUCCCGUACGAAGAAAUUCGAGGAAAAGUGUACAACACGCGAUUGGAGGUGCAAAUGGAAAAUCAUGGCAUCUUUGUGGAAGACAACUGAAUUAUGGAUGAUAAAAAAAUAUUUUGGACCACAUACUUGUGUUCGGCAGGUGCGCUGUGCGAUCACUACAUUUUCAAACAUAAUGUAGUGUGCCCCGAGUUUUUUUUCAAUUACGUAAAGUUAAUACGGAAAUUUGCAGGUGCAAGUUUGGAUUAUCUCAUGUUAGACUCAGACAUAAUUUCUAACAUUAUUCUACCUAGGACUCUCGUCCCGGUGUUGAUUGCGAACAUUCGUAACCAGCAUGACUACACUCCGUCAUACUAAAAAGCAUGGGUUACCAAACAUAAGAUUAUGAAUAAGUUUCAACACGAUUGAGACAAUUCAUAUAACUAUAUAUGGCAAUGGUGUUAGGUUUUGGAUAGGUACGUACCAGGAUUCAUAACUGAUUUGGAAACGCACCCAACAUACUCUAGCGAUCGUUUGGUCCCUAGGAAAAGAGUAUUUUAUCGGUAUUUUUGGACCUUUGAGCAACGCAGAGAAGCUUUCCGGCACUGCAAGCCCUUGGUGCAAAUUUCCGGCACUUGACUCUAUGGAAGAUAUCAACAACAGUUGUUGAUUUUCAUUUCCCAGGAUGGUAACUACAGGAUUCUACCGGUUGCAUUUAUAAUAACUCCCAGAGAAAAGGCAAAUACUGGGAUUUCUUUCUAAGCUGAUUGCAUCAUCGCAUUUCCCCAUAGCCCGACAUAUGUGUCAUAUCAGAUAGGGGAACCGAAAUAUUGUCCGCUAUUAACUGAUAGGGUAGCCUUUGGGACUGCACCCAUCAUAGGUACUACAUAUGACAUGUCAGAUCCAACUACCACUCAAAAUGACAUUUGAAAAGUGAGUGGGAUCAAUUCAUUAACAUGGUUAUGAAGUUGUCACUAUUUGCACAAUCAUAAUAUAUCAUAUUUCGUACUAAUUUGCAUUCAUCUGUAUGCUUUUAUGAAUAUGGUACGAGCUCAUCCAAUAUUAUUUUAAUGAAAUGUUAUACAACUUGGGCACCAUCAACAACUAUGAUACGGUGUACCUAGCGAACAUACCCUUCGAAUAGUGGACGUAGUCAUAUGAUGGGGGUUUAUAGUACAGGUACAUGACAUCAAACUUAACUGAGUUUAUAAAUUCCGUACUGAAAGGGACGCAUCAUUUGUUGAUAACCUUGGCUGUGAAAGAAGCAUACUUCUGUCUAGCGGCCUUGUUUCCAAAGUGAGUGACAGUGUAUGCUAGACAAAUAGUGGGUAGCUAUACUUGGUGCGAGGAUGUUAUGAAAGAAAUUAGACGAAAUACAACGAGAGCAAAUACUAUGUACGUAGUGUCUCACUUGCGUCAAAACCUGGAAUUUUGAUUCACGAAGCACGCUAGGCCGAACCAGGAUAUGUUAGGGGCAUCAUAUGUGUUUACGUAACAUGAGAGACUUGCUAUUGUGGGAGGUUCCAAGCACUUCAGUUCCCAUGCGUACAUGUAAUUGUCGCAUGUGGGAACUUACAAAUUGAGUACGUGCCUAACAUCAAUUAUGUGCAUAUACUAGAACAUAUGCAUAGUGUAUAGAGCCCUAAAUUCUCACUCGUCCCAAAUGAGAGUACAUGGUCGCCAGUGUCCAGCGCGUUGUAUGGGUUGGUGCCGAACAUGAACCCACAUCAUGUCCUGAAAGGUCACUGAAUUCCAUUCAGGUACAAAACAAUAUGGAUAUUUGGGAAAGAGGCAGUCAAUAGAAGUUAUGAGGGUAGUGUAGAAACCCAAGGCAUAUGAAGGCAACAUGUUUUGUGUUGAGGGAUACUUUGGGGCCUCAAGGUUGAUAGCAUAGUUAGAAUCAGAGGUGUAUUGAUUACAAUCCUUCCAUUACUCUGAUGUACCAACUUUUUUAUUUCUUACUAAGUCACGUAUAAUUUAUAUUAGAAUAUAACAAAGAGAAAUAUGAGUUGCAAUGUGAACUUAUGGUUUCUUUAUUUAUGCCAUUUAUAUACAUUGCAGCAGUUAAAAAAUACAUCAUUGACAUCGCUAAGUAGAAUGUGUGCCACACGGCGGUGGAUGACGAUCACGAGAAGGAUUUCUACGCACAACUAUUGUUGCUGGCUCAUCAACUUGAUCGUCACUGCCGUCGUCAUCUUCUUCGCUAUACCCUAAAUCAUCUUUCUCAUAUUCGUCUCCACCUUCAUCCUCAUCUUCAUCUUUGUCUCCACCCUCGGCUUCAUCUUUGUCUUUGUCUUCGCCUUCGUCCCCAUCGACUUCCUCCAUGCUUAAGUAUGGUGUCGUUCGAGUCUCCCAUUGUGUAUCCUUACACCUCCAGAAAAUGGUUGCGUCGAUGACCCACCUCGAUAAAACAAUGAUGCAGUGGGUGUUAGGGAGACUAUCGGCGUGUAAGUGUAUGGUGUCACAAAACCCGUAUACAUCAGCAUUGACAAUGGCAUUGAUGAUUAGAUCAGUGGCAGUAUCGGUGUCAUCAUCGAUGAAGGACUCUGUGCUAGCAUAUGGGUUAAAAUUUGCAACGACGUCGAUGUCGGCAUUUGGGUGUAGAAUGUAGGGGACAUCAGUGCCCAAAAAUAUGUACCUAUUAGGGGUAGAUCUAGGGACGUGCGGUGGUGCAUACUGCGGUGGUACAUACUGCGGUGGUUGUGAGAAAAACACUGUGUUAGUAAAAUCAAUAGAAAUAAGUAGAGUGAACUAAGCUGGAUAUUGUGUAGACACAGGCAGCAGUCUUGGUUCAGUCGUAGCUGAUGACGAACUCCUCGUGCGACCGCGUCUAGACAUACGCUGCAGGGUGGUCGUCAUUCCCUCUUUCGAUGGAGUUUCCUACUUCUCGCCUUAACGAUAGAAGAUACGACUUGCCAGUGACUCUGAACCAUGGCAUAUACUCCAAACAAGCAGUAGUGUCUAAUGAGAAAAAGGUUCGUGCAUGGGUAAGAAUUCCAUCCUACGAUCCCAAGCGUUGAUGUACUCGGCGUGAAUGUCUCAGCAAUUCUCGUCGUUUUCCCCCCGUAGGUCCACCUUGUGCAAAUCAUCUAUGUUUCGCGGUGGCAGCAGAAUUUGUUGCCUCUACCCAAACUGCUGAAACACUCAAUUCGAUUCAUACAUUUCCACCAUCAUGUACACUAUCAACAGCACUUUCACAUCCCACAUACUCCGAUUGUCUAAAAUUUUCGGAGAGACGUAUUCUAUGUACGACAUCCAUUCAAAUUGCAAUGCACAAUUAAAUUUUUUUUGUUAUGCACGAAAUUAUAUUUUACAAGUCAUUGCAUAAUUAUUAUAGGUUGGAAAGAAAAAGUAACUAACCUUGACUUCAGAGCGUUGAUCUAACAAUAGCUUGAUAUCUUCGAGCUAGUCAGGUAGUCUUGCGUAACUCGACCCAUGGUUCCACUUGUACAACCGAUAUGCUAGUUCAAACAUAUAAUAAAUAAACAAUAUUUACUAUACAAGCUAAGUUAUGAUUUUCACCUUGUCACCAAUGCGAACAUGUUUGGGUCGUUCACUCGGGGACAUAGAAACGGUAAUCACCAUCAAGCCCACGACGGUAGUAGGAGCAGACAACCCCCGAUUGACAUCUUAUCUUGUUGCGUCACCCGAAAUAACUCUCAGUAUAGCGUGGCCAAAGUGGCUGAUCCCUAACUCAGUCGUCAGCAUUCUUUGAAGUGUAGUAGCCACCUUACGUGCACUAAAUUUUGAGAUUUAUAAGGCACUAAAAUGCCCCCGAUUAACCUCAAGAUAAAUGCUCGGACGUAUUGUUCUUUAACGGCAUCGGUCGGGUUUCAAAGAAGCUCUUUUAAAUUUGUUUCCAACCAAUUCAUCGAUAUUCGACCACCUUCAAACUUGUUCAGAACCUUCCCCAAAAAUGUCGCACAAAGGUCCUUUUUACUGGAAAUGAUCGCAAACCCCAUGACAACUGGUCCAUCCACUGGUAAACUUAGUUGUAAAGCUACGUCUUCCAGUGUGAUGGUACACUCUCUGCAUGGAAGAUGAAAAGUGUGUGUCUCGAGCCUCAAUCUUUCCACCAACGCGCUGAUGAGUGUAGGAUUGAGUUUGCAGCCCCAAGCACACGAGACGCAUGCAAGAAUCCCGCGUCUUGUAGGUAACCACAAAUUUUGGUGAUUGGGCCCUUUGACAAACUAUGUAUGAACCCCUCCAAAACAUGACCAUCCACCUAUUUAUAUCAACAAAAAAAUUAAUUUAAAAUAUUAAAAAAAUAAAAACUUUAAAUUUAACUUGAUUAAAAAUAACGAAAUUUGAAAUUUUGUCUUACCAUUAUUGCUUGAGCGGUGGAAAUGUGAUUGUCGUCCAAACGAAUCAAAAAGUUUGUCAUUCAUGAAUAUUUAAUCGAACCUUAUAAAAUACAAAAUAAUUAAAAAAAUUAUUAUUCUUAAAUGAGCAUAUUGAAAAAUUCACAAUAGAACUUACAAAAAUGAAGGCAAUUUAGAGAGUUAAGAGAGUUGAGAGUUUAGAAAAAGUAAAGAGAAUUGGAUUUGAGUGAAACGGAUGAAAAUUUGGAU
rnacentral:lncRNA from 1 species